rnacentral:rRNA from 1 species
GAUGAACGCUGGCGGCGUGCCUAAUACAUGCAAGUCGAGGGGAAACGACAUCGAAAGCUUGCUUUUGAUGGGCGUCGACCGGCGCACGGGUGAGUAACGCGUAUCCAACCUGCCCAUCACUUGGGAAUAACCUUGCGAAAGUAAGACUAAUACCCAAUGAUAUCCCACGAAGGCAUCGGAAUGGGAUUAAAGAUUUAUCGGUGAUGGAUGGGGAUGCGUCUGAUUAGCUUGUUGGCGGGGUAACGGCCCACCAAGGCAACGAUCAGUAGGGGUUCUGAGAGGAAGGUCCCCCACAUUGGAACUGAGACACGGUCCAAACUCCUACGGGAGGCAGCAGUGAGGAAUAUUGGUCAAUGGGCGAGAGCCUGAACCAGCCAAGUAGCGUGCAGGAAGACGGCCCUAUGGGUUGUAAACUGCUUUUAUAAGGGAAUAAAGUGGGUCACGUGUGACUUUUUGCAUGUACCUUAUGAAUAAGGACCGGCUAAUUCCGUG